rnacentral:rRNA from 1 species
UCAAGAAACUUCCACAAUGGGCGAAAGCCUGAUGGAGCGACGUCGCGUGAUGGACGAAGUGCUUCGGCACGUAAACAUCUUUUUAUGUGGGAUGAAAUUAUUGACAGUACCACAUGAAUAAGGGGCUCCUAACUCUGUGCCAGCAGGAGCGGUAAUACAGAGGCCCCAAGCGUUAUCCGGAAUCACUGGGCGUAAAGGGUGUCGAGGCGGUUGUAUUAGUCGUUCGUAAAAUCUACGAGCUUAACUUGUAGGCGGCGAACGAAACGGUACGACUUGAGGUUUGGAGAGGUGCGCGGAACUCACGGUGUAGGGGUGAAAUCCGUUGAUAUCGUGGGGAACACCAAAGGCGAAGGCAGCGCACUGGCCAAAAUCUGACGCUCACACACGAAAGCUAGGGUAGCGAAGAGGAUUAGAUACCCUAGUAGUCCCUGAGCGGGCUGGCAAGGCGCAU